AUACGUAGGAUGCAAGCGUUAUCCGGAAUUAUUGGGCGUAAAGCGUUCGUAGGCUGUUUAUUAAGUUGGGGGUGAAAUCUCCGGGCUCAACCCGGAGCUCGUUCUCAAAACUGGUAGACUUGAGUAAGGUAGAGGCUGACGGAAUUCUGCAAGUAGGGGUAAAAUCCGUUGAUCUGCAGAGGAACACCAAAAGCGAAGGCAGUCAGCUGGGCCUUUACUGACGCUGAGGGACGAAAGCGUGGGUAGCGAACAGGAUUAGAUACCCUGGUAGUCCACGCCGUAAACGAUGGAUACUAGCUGUUGGGGGCAACUUCAGUGGCUAAGCGAAAGUGAUAAGUAUCCCACCUGGGGAGUACGUUCGCAAGAAUGAAACUC
rnacentral:rRNA from 1 species